rnacentral:rRNA from 1 species
AAUACGUUCCCGGACCUUGUACACACCGCCCGUCAAGCCAUGGAAGUUGGGAGGACCUGAAGCCAGUUGCCGUAAGGCGCUGUUUAGGGUUAAACCAAUGACUGGGGCU